rnacentral:ncRNA from 1 species
GUUGAGCUUGGCUUUAGUCCGACUUUGUGGAGCGGACUGACGGUUUUCGCACAGGUCUGAGUUUUGUCGAUCAUGAAGUACCGCUGGUCGCAGUGUCGUUUUUCCUAUUCCGUCAGAAUGCGCGGCAUUCCCAACACAUGGUUUUUGUGUUAAGGUGCUUUUGGCGUAGUGUUGGAUGCGGCAGCCAUAGUCGGGCGGGAAGGUUGGCUGGGGCGGCAAAUGCGUGAAACCGAACGAGGUAAACUACGGCAAGCUCACUGAGAACAAGGCAUAUGUCUCGUGUUGGCUAGAGGGGGAAGCGUGCUUGAUUUUGAUUUUGAGUACGAGUACGAACCGUGGCGGCAUGGCAUUUCCAUCCUUUGGGUUUGGGAUACUUACAGCUAGACAUGUCAAAAACGUAAACAC